GCAGCAGCCGCGGGAAUACGAAGGGCGCAAGCGUUACUCGGAAUUACUGGGCGUAAAGCGUGCGUAGGUGGUGGUUUAAGUCCGUUGUGAAAGCCCUGGGCUCAACCUGGGAAUUGCAGUGGAUACUGGGUCACUAGAGUGUGGUAGAGGAUAGUGGAAUUUCCGGUGUAGCAGUGAAAUGCGUAGAGAUCGGAAGGAACAUCUGUGGCGAAGGCGACUAUCUGGGCCAACACUGACACUGAGGCACGAAAGCGUGGGGAGCAAACAGGAUUAGAUACCCCGGUAGUCCCUGUCUCUUAUAC
rnacentral:rRNA from 1 species